AUGGGGCAGUCCGCACCCACUUAUAGGUCCCACCCCACACUUAGGGGGCCGCCCCACACUUAUGGGUCCUGCCCCACACUUAUAGGGUUGCUCCCCACUUUUGUGUUCCCUCACACUUAUGGGGCUGCCCCACACUUAUGGGGCCCACACCUACUUAUGGGUCCCACCCCACACUUAUAGGGCUGCUCCUCACUUAUGGGGCAGCCCACACCCACUUAUGGGGCUGCCCCACACUUAUAGGGCCGCCCCACACUUAUGGGGCAGUCCACCCCACACUUAUGGGUCCCACCCCACACUUAUAGGGCCGCCCCACACUUAUGAGGCAGUCCACACCUACUGUUGGGUCCCGCCCCACACUUAUGGGUCCCACCCCACACUUACAGGGUCACCCCACGCUUAUGGGGCACCCAGGUUUACUUAUGGGGCAGCCCACACUUACAGGGUCGGCCCACACUUAUGGGUCCCACCCCACACUUAUGGGGUCGCCCCACACUUACAUGGUCACCCCACACUUAUGGGGCAGCCCACCCCACACUUAUGGGUCCCACCCCACGCUUAUGGGUCCCACCCCACACUUAUGGGGCAG
rnacentral:lncRNA from 1 species